rnacentral:rRNA from 1 species
CCUACGGGAGGCAGCAGUGAGGAAUAUUUGUCAAUGGACGAGAGUCUGAACCAGCCAAGUAGCGUGAAGGAUGACUGCCCUAUGGGUUGUAAACUUCUUUUAUAUGGGAAUAAAACGUUCCACGUGUGGGAUUUUGUAUGUACCAUAUGAAUAAGGAUCGGCUAACUCCGUGCCAGCAGCCGCGGUAAUACGGAGGAUCCGAGCGUUAUCCGGAUUUAUUGGGUUUAAAGGGAGCGUAGGUGGAUUGUUAAGUCAGUUGUGAAAGUUUGCGGCUCAACCGUAAAAUUGCAGUUGAAACUGGCAGUCUUGAGUACAGUAGAGGUGGGCGGAAUUCGUGGUGUAGCGGUGAAAUGCUUAGAUAUCACGAAGAAAUCCGAUUGCGAAGGCAGUUCACUGGACUGCAACUGACACUGAGGCUCGAAAGUGUGGGUAUCAAACAGGAUUAGAUACCCCUGUAGUC